rnacentral:lncRNA from 1 species
AUGAUUUGGACAGAUUAUACAAUACCAAAGAGGUAAUUAAUAUGCAUGAAACAAGGAUAGGGUUUAAAUCAAAGAUUGUGUGGUUUUUGCAACAUAGAACAAGAUUUAAACUUGUAAGUCAUUUUUAUUUACAAAAAAAUUUCUUUUCUGGUCCUAAUGGACAGAGAGCAAGUUUAAAUAAUUUUACAGCAAGAUAACAUCCUCAAAACUAUUUUGAAACAAUUCAUUUGAAAUUUAAACCAUUUUCAACCAUUCUGUAAAUAGCUACUUUUUAAGUUGUUCAAAACUGAAAUUAAACAGUGCCAAAAUAUUCUACAAGUUGUGACGAUUCCAGAAAGGUGCGGAACACAAUUUUUGGACAAACGGUUUGAAAGAUAUGAUGCUUUGAAGUUGUAGGGUCUUUUCUGCAAAAUUGCAUUAUCUAAUUCGGCCGAAUUAAAAUAAAAUAAAAUAAAAUAAAUCUCACCACGUGGCAAAACUUGACUGGCCUGGUUCUAGGGUUCCGGCCGGCGGGCGAGCUCGCCGGACGGCGGCGGCGGC